UACAGAGGGGGCAAGCGUUAUUCGGAAUUAUUGGGCGUAAAGCGCACGUAGGCGGCUUUGUAAGUUAGAGGUGAAAGCCCGGGGCUCAACUCCGGAACUGCCUUUAAGACUGCAUCGCUAGAAUUGUGGAGAGGUGAGUGGAAUUCCGAGUGUAGAGGUGAAAUUCGUAGAUAUUCGCAAGAACACCAGUGGCGAAGGCGGCUCACUGGAACGGUACUGACGCUGAGGCGCGAAAGCGUGGGGAGCAAACAGG
rnacentral:rRNA from 1 species